UCCGGCUUAGCUCAGCGGUAGAGCAAUCGGCUGUUAACCGAUUGGUCGUUGGUUCGAAUCCGACAGCCGGAGCCA
rnacentral:tRNA from 2 species